GGGGAAUUGCUUAAACCUGGGAGGUGGGGGUUGCAGUGAGCUGAGAUUGCGCCACUGCACUCCAGCCUGGGUGACAGAGUGAGACCAUCUCCAAAAACAAUAAGAGUGCCUUGCUCUGGUGGUCUGAACCAGUCAUCACCCUUUUUAUCUCAUUAUUCCCUUUCCUUGGGAUUACUCCCCAUCUUCCUGUUUCUUGGCUUUGAUCACUCCCAAUUCAUUCCCAGACGACUCAUUUGGACUGAUUCUUGUGUCAGGAGACUUUACUCAUGCUGAGCCCUGAGUUCCCUGGGAAACCCACAUCUCUUUACUAAUAGGACUUUGUGUUGCAAAUGAGAAUGCCUGUUUUGAAAUGAGCAUUUGCGGACUCUGUUCUUUUUCACAAGCAUUUUUUUAAUCUAUAAAUUUAAUAUGUAUCUUUUAUUUUUUUCAUUAAGGGCUCAAAGGACUUGUCUUGAUCUGUAGUUUUGGCUACACCUGCUUGGGAAAGUGUAGUCUGGGAAUUCCUGCCGCCACUAACUCACUGAUUUCCACUUGCCUGAGAUCUAUUAGGAUUCCUCCAUUGCAGAUGUUCUGACACACUGAAGCUAUGCCUUACCUGACAAGCUAAUACCCAAUUCCUUCUAGAACUCAUGGAUUUAUAUUUCUGUUCUCUCCCCACUCUUGUCCAGACCUUUACAUCCUGGAUUCUUUACCAUUUCUGCCCCCAGGACUCUUGGAUAUUGCAUUGUCACUCAUAUCCAUAAAACACCUUAGGAACUGGACAUUAAUAUGUUAAUGUUAUUCAAAACACAUCCAUGGAAGCUCAAGUGCAAGGCAUAUACUCUAAUAAGUCUUGGGGAUUCAAAAAUGAAUGAGAAACCAUGUCUUUUCCUCUAAAAAGCAAUCUUGUAAAAUCGCGUCCAGAAGCUUCCAAGACAUUAGAGGUGACGUUGAGUUUGUAAGCUAACAUAGGGAGUCAAUUUCUUGGAUGGCAAAUGGAAAAAAUCCUUGAAGCCUCUAGUCUGUGAAUGGCUGGGGUUGGGCUUAAGAAGUUCCUGGGAAGAAGCUUGCUGACAGAGUAGAUACUCCCUGGACUGAGUCAGCCUUUCUGGAUGUGAUUCUAAUAAUGGGGUCCACAGUUGGAGAGGGAAACCCCAUUAUCAGAGUUCCCAGCUAGAAUAAGACAGACAGCCAGUGGGGCGAGUGUCAGAAGGUUUGUUUUCAUGUCUGUUAACCAAAUGGUGGCUACUGGAAAAGUGAAAAAAGAGUGAUCAAGGAAAAGGCAAGGCCAGAACGGACCUGAGGAAUGAAACACCACCUCCAGGGCACAAGGUCCCCCAGCCUGGAAGCUGCUUGCUGAUGUCCAACUCCACCCCUGCCUUCUAACCCUGCCGUAGCCAUCCCAGUGUCCUGUUCUUCCUAUGAAAGAAAAAGUCAAAUGGAUGAGCCACAAUGUCCCUACUAGGGAAAGAGAAUCUGCAAGGUAGGGAGAGAGAUAGCUAUAUAGAAAGAUACAAAGAAAUACAUAAAAAGAACAAGGCAUAGAAAUAAAAUAACAAAGAGUGACAGCAGCAGAAAAAUAACAAAAGAACUGGUUGCUUCUCCUAGGAGAAAAUCCAGAGUGCAGAGCAGUGAUGAGGGGAUUGGAGGCAAGCAACAGAUAGAGAAUGCCAGCAGAAAGCAGAAACAGAGGUGUCCAUGUCACAGACCUGGAGGGAUUCAGAGAGGGCAAAGGGCAGAAGCAGGACUUUAGCCAUAAUAUUCUGUCCCAGUGAGCCCACCGUCUGUCCCUAGCAUGCUCAUGCUUCUCCCUACACAUUCACAGCUCCUGCACAAAGACAAAACCAUAGAGGAAAGCACUCAGAAAGGAGCAGGAUGAGGGAAUGCAAAGAAAAGGCAAAUGAGGGAAGCGUUGAAAGCCUUGAUACAAUGGCCACAAAGAAGAGCUCUUCACAAUCGAAGCUUGUUAUGUUUGCUUUGCCAUCAUCCACCAUAAAGUCUGGAAUACAACCUUCUUCCCUUUUCAGUAAACAUCUACUGAGUAAAUC
rnacentral:lncRNA from 1 species